AAAUACCGGUACAAACGGAAGAGGUGUCAGGCUGGCAAAUCCGCCUGGCAAGCCAAAGACGUGAUGUGGAGCGAAAUAAAAGUAGCGAAGUAUGUGAGCCAUGUGCCGAGAAAAGCCGCUAUUGUUUUAUAUGUGCCCGUACCGUAAACCGACGCAGGUGGAUGAGGAGAGAAUCCUAAGGCCGACGGAAGAAGCAUUGUUAAGGAACUCGGCAAAAUGACCCCGUAACUUCGGGAGAAGGGGUGCCCACUUCAGGGUGGGCCGCAGAGAAUAGGCUCAAGCAACUGUUUAGCAAAAACACAGGUCUAUGCGAAACCGUAAGGUGAAGUAUAUGGGCUGACGCCUGCCCGGUGCUGGAAGGUUAAGAGGAGAGGUUAGUCGCAAGAUGAAGCUUUGAAUUUAAGCCCCAGUAAACGGCGGCCGUAACAAUAACGGUCCUAAGGUAGCGAAAUUCCUUGUCGGGUAAGUUCCGACCCGCACGAAAGGCGUAAUGAUUUGAGCACUGUCUCGACAAUGCAUCCGGUGAAAUUGAAGUACCAGUGAAGAUGCUGGUUACCCGCGCCAGGACGGAAAGACCCCAUGGAGCUUUACUCCAGUUUGGUACUGGGAUUCGGUACUGCAUGUACAGGAUAGGUGGGAGACUGAGAAAUUGGAACGCCAGUUUCAAUGGAGUCACUGUUGGGAUACCACCCCUGCAGUAUUGGGUUUCUAACCAGCCGCUGUGAUCCAGCGGUGGGACAAUGCCAGGCGGGGAGUUUGACUGGGGCGGUCGCCUCCGAAAGGGUAUCGGAGGCGCUCAAAGGUUCCCUCAGAAUGGUCGGAAACCAUUUGAAGAGUGCAAAGGCAGAAGGGAGCUUGACUGCGACACCGACGGGUGGAGCAGGUACGAAAGUAGGACUUAGUGAUCCGGUGGCAUAAAGUGGGAUUGCCAUCGCUCAACGGAUAAAAGCUACCCUGGGAUAACAGGCUUAUCACUCCCAAGAGUUCACAUCGACGGAGUGGUUUGGCACCUCGAUGUCGGCUCAUCACAUCCUGGGGCUGUAGCAGGUCCCAAGGGUUGGGCUGUUCGCCCAUUAAAGCGGUACGCGAGCUGGGUUCAGAACGUCGUGAGACAGUUCGGUCCCUAUCCGGCGCGGGCGGAGGAUAUUUGAGAGGAGCUGUCCUUAGUACGAGAGGACCGGGAUGGACGGACCACUGGUGUAUCUGCUGUCGACCAACGGCAUGGCAGAGUAGCCAAGUCCGGAAGGGAUAAACGCUGAAGGCAUCUAAGCGUGAAGCCCCCCUCAAGAUGAGAUAUCCCUCACAUAAGUGAGUAAGAUCCCUUGAAGAGUACAAGGUAGAUAGGGCAGAGGUGGAAGCAUGGUAACAUGUGGAGCUGACUGUUACUAAUCGAUCGAGGGCUUGACC
rnacentral:rRNA from 1 species